rnacentral:rRNA from 1 species
UACAGAGGUCUCGAGCGUUAGGCGGAAUCAGCUGGGCUUAAAGCGUGUGUAGGCGGAUCGGUAAGUACCUUGUGAAAUCCACAGCUUAACUGUGGAACUGCUGGGUAUACUGGCGAUCUUGAGCCACCUAGGGGCGAGCGGAACAAGCGGUGGAGCGGUGAAAUGCGUAGAUAUCGCUUGGAACGCCAAUGGUGAAAACAGCUCGCUGGGGUGUGCUGACGCUGGAGACACGAAAGCCAGGGGAGCGAACGGG